rnacentral:piRNA from 1 species
CGGAAGCUUCUAGAUGUGCAGGA